rnacentral:misc_RNA from 1 species
GAAAUGCGAUAAUUAAUGUGAAUUGCAGAAUUCAGUGAAUCAUCGAGUCUUUGAACGCACAUUGCGCCCCCUGGUAUUCCGGGGGGCAUGCCUGUCCGAGCGUCAUUGCUGCCCUCAAGCACGGCUUGUGUGUUGGGCUUCCGUCCCUGGCAACGGGGACGGGCCCAAAAGGCAGUGGCGGCACCAUGUCUGGUCCUCGAGCGUAUGGGGCUUUGUUACCCGCUCCCGUAGGUCCAGCUGGCAGCUAGCCUCGCAACCAAUCUUUUUAACCAGGUUGACCUCGGAUCAGGUAGGGAUACCCGCUGAACUUAAGC